rnacentral:lncRNA from 1 species
GCAAAAUGAAAAAACUGAACCCACUCAAAUUUCGUAUGAAGACCAAGAAUAGAGCAAAGAAUAUAAGUACACAUUGGACUUACCCUAUUUGAUAGCUUAUUUAACCAAACAGGUUUCAACCUUUUUCCACAAAUUAUCAAGACUUGCUCCAACACAGCCCACUUGGAGUGAAUGAAGAUGGAGGAAGGGUACAAACAAAAUCCUGUUGAAAACAAACCAAAAAGAACAAAAUAAGAUCAUAAAUUAAAAAUCAAAGCACAUAUACGUAUUCAGAGAGAUAAUACCAGAAGGGGACCUUGACGGUGAUGCUUCCACCAGUCCCAGAGACCCAACCCAGAUUGUAGAACUGAUGGCAGAGCUCAACUAUUUUGUUCCUUUUUGUUUGGUUUCAACAGGAUUUUGUUUGUACCCUUUCUCCAUCUUCAUUUAUAUACUUUUGUUUAUACAUUCGAAUAUACAGAGAAGUGAAAGGGCAAACAUGAACUCAACUCCCUAUCCUAAAAAAAUAUAAAAAAUCCUUUAUGAACUCGUUCGUCAAAUUUAAAUUUGAAGAAAAAGGAGUAGGAAGUGAGCUCAAAGCCUUUCAUCAAACUUGUGCCAAAACUUAGGGAGAACUAAAUCCUUUGUCAAUUUAAGAUAAACCAACCAUAUAUCAAAUCGGAUUGGGUUCGAAGUUUUUGGGAUAAGUUGGGAUUCUUUAGAAAAUAUUUUUUGAAGAAAAAUAAAGUAAGGAUUCGAAUGCACCAGACAUAUCAAGAUUUCUAACCAAAACUUCGCUCCAUUUUGAUGAAUAAAAAAAAAGGUAAAGGAUUAAAGAUGACAAUAGGUAAAGAUAUUUCGAACUUUUUUUUUGCUUUUCUACACAUUUUUCACAUCAAUAUAUGACUCCUAUCAUCUAAUUAUAAUGUCAAGGAGAUUUGGCAUACCUUUGGGAGUAUGAUAUCAAGUAGAUUUGUUCCUGUUUUUGAUUCACACCUCUCUGAAUGAUGACUGCAAAUAAUCAAAACAAUAAAACAGUUAAAAACGAAGAUUCAUAUUAGAUAAACAGGCGUAAUCCAAAAAGGCACAGAGUUGAGCAAAUUUACCUCACAUGCCAGAUCGUCUCGCUAUCUCCAGCGUUCAAUACAGCGAGACAGCGAGGUGUGGGGCAAAAAAAGGAACUCCUCAUCGCGUUCGACGAUCUGAUGGCGCAAUACUUUUCUAGGGUUUCGGCCGCUGUGGAGAAGAUCGGGGGACAGGUUUUGGACGUGACGAAGGUUCUCACUAAGGUGUUCUCUGCUCAUAAUGAAGAGGUUGAGUGAAACCGGCUGGAAUGGAGAGGUGGAGUGAGAGAGAGGUGUAGUUUUGAGUGUGAUGGUUUAGAACAUCCAGCUGUGAUGGUCUCAGAACAUCCCAUCUCUUUGCUGCUCUUGAGCCGUGUGAGAGAGGUGUUGCUUUGAGUGUGAAACCGGCUAUAAUGUCCCAUCUCUAUGCUUCUCUUAAGCCGC